rnacentral:rRNA from 1 species
UACGGAGGGUGCUAGCGUUGUUCGGAAUCACUGGGCGUAAAGGGCGUGUAGGCGGUCUGUUAAGUCUGAUGUGAAAUCCCCUCGCUCAACGAGGGAACUGCGUCGGAUACUGGCAGACUUGAGUACCGGAGAGGAAGGUGGAAUUCCCGGUGUAGCGGUGAAAUUCGUAGAUAUUGGGAGGAACACCGGUGGCGAAGGCGGCCAUCUGGGAGGGCACUGACGCUGAGACGCGAAAGCGUGGGGAGCAAACAGG